GAUUGGCUGCUUCUGCCGUCACUCGUGGUUCUGGCGCGCGCUGAUUGGGCAGAGCGGGGACAAGCCCGGCCCCGCUGGCGCCCCCAGGGCGGCCGUGGGGCAGGAGAGCCGCCAUUGCCGGAGCGUCUGUGCGGGCCCGGCAGCGGCGGCAGCAGCGGCCGGAGCCCGGUGAGGCGGCGGCGGAGCUCGGAGGCGGCCCCGGCCAUCGCAGAGCCUAGGCUGAAGUGAACCCAGAAGUGUGGGCAGCCCCAGCGAAAUAAGGAAAAUUAGAUAUGGAGCCUCUUCAAAUUACCCUGAAGCAACCAGGACAAGAGGUGUCUAAAAGCAAUCCCCUGUUCCAAGGGAGGGAAGGAAGGGCUCACAGACUGUUAAUGAGUCCCUACUAAAGGCAGGGCUUUUGGAGCCAGAGAUGUCUCCCUAUCCUGCCAGUCAAGAAACUGGAUGAAUGGAUACCAGAAGGAAAAUAGAAUUUUAAGAUUUUAAAAAGCAAAUUAACUGAGGCUCCUGCCCUGGCCCUUCCAGACUGGGAAAAAGAAUUUGAAUUGUUUGUGAAUGUUAAACAGGGCCAUGCUAAAUGAAUUCUUAUGCUAAAAUGUUUAACCCAGUGGCCAGAGUGGCCUCAUUGUCUCAGAACUGUGCAGCCACACCUUUAAUGGGAACUGAGGCCCAAAAACUGAUGGCAGGAGGAUCUCCUGUUGUUCAAGUCUAGCAUCAGGUUAAAGCUUUGUACAUCAAAAGAGCCUCCAAAUGGAUGAGCAGAGCUCGGUUAUUACAGUAUGAAACUUGUUCAGUGGCACAGGAGGAUUUAGAAUUGAGGCCAGAGGAAGGGUUUAACCCAGCCUCCUGUUUAAACAGCCUGGAGAGGGGGCUGGGAAGAAACCCAUGACUUCAUUCAAGUGACAGAGCUCCAGACCCAGGCUGGGAGAGAUUUGAGACACAACAACCUUUGGACUCUGCUCUUCUCAACACCCUGUUACAUACAAGUAAAACCUUACAAAAGAAAGGUCUUGUAAAAUCAUGGUUUAGGACUUGUUACUUUGGCUAAGUAUAGCUAGCAGCUAGCCUGCUAAGUUCCCAUGCAUAAGCAUCUUGAGAAUGAAAAGUUCAUUAACACAACAAACUAUUCUUGGGGAGAAAAACAAGUGCACCUGUAGUAACAAGGGAUCUGUCCCAUGAGAAUCAGUAGAAGUAUGUAAACGUUGUUAGAGAGACAAGUUUUGAUUGACGUGUACACUCACCAUUACCAACCAGAGAACUGAGCUCCUAACCAACUGGCAUUAAGCACGGUGCCUUCUGAUAACCAUAUAAAUAUAAGCUGCGUGGAAUAAAGAUUGGGCUAUGAUGGAAGAAGAAACAGGUGUCAUUGUCCAUCUCUACUACGACACACCCAACCAGGACAUUGGGUCCUGCCGAACGAGUGGAAAGAAGCAGCUCUGGUGGCCAAGUGACAUGGCCCAUUCCAAGUGUCCCUGAGCACAGAAACAGCCCCAGCACAGCUGAACACGGGGGGACCCCUCAGCCUCGGCUCAAGUGCUCUGAAGCCCUGGAGAUUUGGACUUCCCCGCUGCAGGAGGACCAUGGGAGGCCACCCCUGAGCCUGCACUGAAGGCAAUGCAGCAGCAGCCAGGGCUCCCCAGCGGGGGAAGCCCCUGGGCCUGCCCACAGAUCCUCUGCUCAAAUCCUCGGCCUGGGCACCCUCCUUUGCCAUC